GACGAACGCUGGCGGCGUGCCUAAUACAUGCAAGUCGAACGGUCUUUUCUAUGGAAGCUUGCUUCCGCUGAGAAGAUAGUGGCGAACGGGUGAGUAACACGUGGGUAACCUGUCCAUAAGAGGGGGAUAACAUCCGGAAACGGGUGCUAAUACCGCAUAGUUUUCUUGAUCGCAUGAUCGAGAAAGGAAAGACGGCCUUUGUGCUGUCGCUUCUGGAUGGACCCGCGGCGUAUUAGUUAGUUGGUGAGGUAACGGCUCACCAAGACGAUGAUACGUAGCCGACCUGAGAGGGUGAUCGGCCACAUUGGGACUGAGACACGGCCCAAACUCCUACGGGAGGCAGCAGUAGGGAAUCUUCCGCAAUGGACGAAAGUCUGACGGAGCAACGCCGCGUGAGUGAAGAAGGUUUUCGGAUCGUAAAACUCUGUUGUCAGAGAAGAACAAGUCGGAGAGUAACUGCUCUGGCCUUGACGGUAUCUGACCAGAAAGCCACGGCUAACUACGUGCCAGCAGCCGCCGUAAGAC
rnacentral:rRNA from 1 species